AUGGGCCUGGAGAAGAAGAGCGUGGCCAUCAUCGGCGCCGGCGUGAGCGGGCUCGCGGCAUGCAAGCACCUGCUGGAGCGCGGGUGCCGGCCGGUGGUCUUCGACGCGGGCGCCACCGUGGGCGGCGUGUGGCCCAAUGCCAUGGAGGGGACCAGGCUCUAG
rnacentral:rRNA from 1 species